GAUGAAGAACGCAGCGAAAUGCGAUAAGUAAUGUGAAUUGCAGAAUUCAGUGAAUCAUCGAAUCUUUGAACGCACCUUGCGCUCCUUGGUAUUCCUUGGAGCAUGCCUGUUUGAGUAUCAUGAAAUCUUCAAAGUCAAACCUUUUGUUAAUUCAAUUGGUUCUGCUUUGGUAUUGGAGGAUUAUUGCAGCUUCACACCUGCUCCUCUUUGUGCAUUAGCUGGAUCUCAGUGUUAUGCUUGGUUCCACUCAGCGUGACAAGUUAUCUAUCGCUGAGGACACCCUGUUAAAAAGGGGUGGCCAAGGUAAAUGCAGAUGAACCGCUUCUAAUAGUCCAUUGACUUGGACAAUAUCUAAUUUAUGAUCUGAUCUCAAAUCAGGUAGGACUACCCGCUGAACUUAAGCAUAUCAAUAAGCGGAGGA
rnacentral:misc_RNA from 1 species